GAGUUCUUGUAAGGCAUUUGCAGUUAUGGGGUUGAUUUUCUCAGCUGCCGAGUGUAUUGUUGAAAAGGUAUCUUGGAGAAUAAGUAAAUUAUAAAAGAAAAUGAAAGAAAGAAGGAGAAAUUUAUGAUUGUAUGUUGCUUUAGAUAAUGAAUAUUUGCUAUAGGAACUUAAACUUUUUUUUUAAGGCACGGGCAAAACAUGAUGCUACAAAUACAGUUGUUGCGGGGUGUGUAACUGGUGGUUCAAUGUCUGCAAGAGGUAACUUUUCUUUGUUCCUUUUCUAUUUUCUACGUAUGAUGAUAUCCAGUUUGAGAAUAGUUAGUCAGAUAUUGGGUUCUCUUAUAGGAUCCAGCAAUUUAUUUCUAUCAACUCAACUCAUGCUUAAUGAUACAGUCCUAGCUUUUCCAAUAAAAGAAAAAGAGGUUUUCUGUGUGUGUAACUGUGUGUGUUUGGGAUGGGGUUGUAAAAGGAGGUUAAGUGGGGAGAGGUGGAACCAACCUAUCUAUCCAUUUGUCCACUUGUUUUACAAAGAUUUGUUUUUGAGUCCAUUUGUUUUUCUGUAGCAUGCAUUUUUUGGCAAUAGACUAGUAGUCAUAUACUUGAUUUUUGUUAGUCACAUUGAAGAUACAUUUCCAAUUAUUAUGUUCUUAUCUUGAAUAACUAAGACUCGAUUCUACCUUCUUCUUUUUUUUUCCUAAUUAGCAAAAACUCUUUAACUUUGUUAUACUAUGGUUUUUCCAGUGUUUGUAUAUUUGUUCUUUGUCUAGUCAAGUUCACACCAAUUGGUGAGUGGAGGAAAGCAAAUAGAAUAUUAUACUUUGGCAGGCUCCUAAUAUUUUGCCCUUUUUUAUUUUUUUUACCUGCUGAAGAGUGGAAAAGGACUGACUUCUUUCACAGCCAUUGAGCUUUAUUCUUCUUCUUUCUUAUAAUCAUUGUUUAACCUUAUUUUGUAUUUUUGUGUCACAUUCAUUAGUUGAUGGAACUAAUGGCUGAUUGCUUUACAUUAUAUAAAUAUG
rnacentral:misc_RNA from 1 species